GAUGAACGCUGGCGGCGUGCCUAAUACAUGCAAGUCGAGCGAACGGACGAGAAGCUUGCUCCUCUGACGUUAGCGGCGGACGGGUGAGUAACACGUGGAUAACCUACCUAUAAGACUGGGAUAACUUCGGGAAACCGGAGCUAAUACCGGAUAAUAUAUUGAACCGCAUGGUUCAAAAGUGAAAGACGGUCUUGCUGUCACUUAUAGAUGGAUCCGCGCUGCAUUAGCUAGUUGGUAAGGUAACGGCUUACCAAGGCAACGAUGCGUAGCCGACCUGAGAGGGUGAUCGGCCACACUGGAACUGAGACACGGUCCAGACUCCUACGGGAGGCAGCAGUAGGGAAUCUUCCGCAAUGGGCGAAAGCCUGACGGAGCAACGCCGCGUGAGUGAUGAAGGUCUUCGGAUCGUAAAACUCUGUUAUUAGGGAAGAACAUAUGUGUAAGUAACUGUGCACAUCUUGACGGUACCUAAUCAGAAAGCCACGGCUAACUACGUG
rnacentral:rRNA from 1 species